rnacentral:rRNA from 1 species
GAUGAACGCUGGCGGCGUGCUUAACACAUGCAAGUCGAACGGUGAAGGCGGAGCUUGCUCUGCUGGAUCAGUGGCGAACGGGUGAGUAACACGUGAGCAAUCUGCCCCUGACUCUGGGAUAAGCGCUGGAAACGGCGUCUAAUACUGGAUACGAGCUGCGAAGGCAUCUUCAGCAGCUGGAAAGAACUUCGGUCAGGGAUGAGCUCGCGGCCUAUCAGCUUGUUGGUGAGGUAACGGCUCACCAAGGCGUCGACGGGUAGCCGGCCUGAGAGGGUGACCGGCCACACUGGGACUGAGACACGGCCCAGACUCCUACGGGAGGCAGCAGUGGGGAAUAUUGCACAAUGGGCGAAAGCCUGAUGCAGCAACGCCGCGUGAGGGACGACGGCUUUCGGGUUGUAAACCUCUUUUAGCAGGGAAGAAGCGAAAGUGACGGUACCUGCAGAAAAAGCGCCGGCUAACUACGUG